AAUGAAGCAUGACUGAUCCAAAAUACAUAUCUGUAUUGACAUGCAUAUUGCAUCAAGUGUCUCAUUAGGCUUUUUAUCUCUGAGGGGUAUCUGUUCUCCUAUCCCUUCGAGGUAUCUAUUGUCUCCUCCCCCAUCUGGUCUGAAAAGGCGUAAGAGAACCACUCCCAGUAGAUCACGGCGUACCCUCUAACGAGAGUGGUAAGACGAAUAUCUAAUAGGGGUCACCCUUGGCUAAGUACUAUCAUGACUGUAGAUAUCUGAUAGGGCCACUAUGGUUGGUACAACCAUGGUCGUAGAUUGUACUAUAGUUUAGCCAGCCAGAAAUGGGCCUAAGCAAAUUGUCAUAUCUAUAUUUGAUCUAGUCA
rnacentral:lncRNA from 1 species